rnacentral:lncRNA from 1 species
GGCUCAUGCACGGCCUGGCCCCUCGCGGUGGCUUCUCCGUGCCCCCCGGCCCCCUGCCCGCUGCUGCUGCACGGGCAUGGGGCUCCCGCGCCCACGCUCCCCGCGUGUCCCCACCGAGUCCCUGCCGGUGCUGCGGGACGCUGGACGGCCACCACGUCAUCUGGUGGGCGAGGAGAAGAGGCCAGCCAAGCGAGGAGCUUGGCAAACCCUAAAGCCAGCUCGAACCCAGAGCUGGCUCGGGCUGCGCGGCAUUGCUCUGGAAGGGAAAAAGCUGGGAAGCGCAUCAGGGCACGUCCCCAGCACCAUGCCCGCGAUGCCUGCAGCACCUCUGGUCCCGGCCGAGGCCCCUGGGGCUGCUCGGGUGACCCUGCCUGCUGCUGUCCUGCCCCGAGCACCAGCUCUCGGCGGGGCACCCAGGUCCCGACUCCCUGCUGCGUGCGCGGGGCCGCCCGUUUCUCCAGGGGAGCUGCCAAAAUCUCCUGCCUGCCCCCCUCCCGAGUGCUUUGGCUGACCCAACACUGUCGUGCCUUUGCUGUCCGAGCCUGCGGGGGGACUGUCACCAUCUUGCAGCCCGUCCAGCUCCCAAGGGAGCGCGGAGCCUUCGGAGCGGGCAGACGACGAGCGCCACGGUGCAGGCAGCGAUGCCGGGCGUUCAAGCUACAGCCUUGGGUGUGGGUUUUGUUUUUUUUUUUUGGUUUUUGUUUUGUUUUCCCUCUGUUGUCCUCUGGGCAAUCAAUAAAGGCACCUGAGGAAGCCGCUGCCGCCCCAAACGCCCGGCCAGCACCGCCGAGGGAACCCACCCGGGGGGACGCGCCCCGGCCGCCGCCGCCGCUCCCUGGGGCCGGGCAGCGAGGGGCCGCCCCCGGCCUGCCCCCGCCCCGCUGCCGGCCCUACAAAGGCGGCGGUCCCAGGCCCUUUCCUCCUCCUCCUCCUUCUCUUCCUCUUCCCCCGGCCCCCGUCCCGCUGCCGGUGCCGCCAUGGCCCCGCUCCGGGCGCUCCGGUUCUGCGCCGCCCUGGCCCUGGCGCUGCUCCCCGCGGCCGCGCGGGGCGAGGAGGAGGCGGCGGGAGAUUGCCACCAGUACACAAACAGGAGCUGUGAGGAGUGCCUGA